ensembl:scaRNA
UGAUCGAUGAUGAAUUGCCCACUGCGCAAUCUGAGUUCCUAACUGUGAUGGAGCUACAUUUGUAAACGGGGCUGAGAUCA